AUGACACUUGGGAGUAGGUCUAGGCACAGCACCAGACUCCAGAGGCCCAGAGAAGUUUGUUCUCACAGCAUCGUUACCUCUCAGUCGGAACCUUUACACAGUAAAGGACAGGGAGACACAGUGCUGAGGACUAGAUGGUGUUGGGGGAGGGCAGAAGAACAGCAGGAGCCUCCAGAAGCUAUCCUCAACCCCUGGCCUGUGUUCCCAACACCCAUGCUUGGGUCUAAGCCACCUCCAUCUGUUUCCAUGGGCUUCUCAUCUCUUGUCUCUUACCGCCAUGUAAAAAGUAAAAUUUCUUCUCAUGCCCGAAAGUUAUAAAGCUCUUAUGUGGCCAUAUGAACUUCAAAGCAUUUAAGUUUCUUAUGGAUGUUAUAUGAUUAAAUGUGUGGCAUCCUGAAUAUUGAAUAUCACAGUAAAGAACGUGGAACUGUUGAGAAAGACAUUUAUAAUGGCUCUAACAUACAAUAUCACACACUUGGUUUGGGCCAGUAAGAUCUUGAUAACAUGCUUCGUUUUUUUAAGUUUUAACAAAGGGUCACCAAUGACAUGAGCAUUUAUAAGAAACCACUUCCAAACGAUGAAUAUCUUAGAUGAGCAAAGCUGAAAGAAUUUCAAAUUCCCAAUUCAUCUUCUUACUAUUCAUGCUGUUUCUCGGUUUAUUACUUCAAACAGAGGAGUGAACGGAAAUAAUUUGGUUAUUUUUAUCUUGGUGCCUCUGAGGCUGUCCUGUACUCUCUGAAUCGGAACCUUUUGUGCUUCAAAAAAACUCAAGAGUUGCAAAUAUUCCAAAGGUGCCAAAGUGAUACGUUUCUUUUUUUCAACUUGUAAAGAUAUAGUCCAAUUUGGUAAACAUUAACCUUGUCAUUUAGAAUAAAAUAUAAUCGCUAUAAGAGCUCAAAAUUUUGCAUGAUCAAAGUGCUAUAUGCAAUAAGUACAAGAAAAUAAGAAAUCAGUCAUCAAAAAGGGCAAACAUGAACUCCAUAAAAGCGCAAAAUAAGGCACAAUCUAAGCACGAAGGAAUUGGUGAAAUAAUAAUAAAUAUUUUCAAAGGAAACAAAUCAAGAACUAAAAACUUAGACACGCUUAAAGAGGAAAGAGGAAUGUUCAAAUCAGAUAAUUAGAUGAGCGUAUUUGGGAAACAACAUUGUUUUCGUUAUUUUACCUAAAAUGUGAGACAAUAGUAAUAGAAAUGUUAUUCCUGGCAACCAAUUGUCACAAAUGAAACACAGUACGAGGGGAUCAAACUAUCCCAACUUAGCUACAGCAUUUGCCAAGAGCCUGAAAAAAUGUUAAGGAAAAAAUGCAAAGGAAACACCAAGAAACAAAUGACUGCCGGCCGAGUCACCUCACUUCAGAAGAGCCCGCGGUGGAAAGGUCACGACCUUUGGGAAACAGGACAUGCUCCAGGUGAGAUUGCGCUGGACAUGGACUUUCCUGACACCAAAAAACAUCAAUCCAACACAGGAGCUUUGCCCAUAUGCCUCUUCUCUCCACCUUUUCUAAGUGCAUAAAGCAAAUAGUACAUCUUGAAAGACUCAUUAUGAGAUGAACAGAUCUUCAAGGGAGCAUCACUGACCACAGGCGUUGCAAACAAGCUGCCAGCUGGCUGAAGCAGCUUCCUUUUCAUUAAACAUUUCUGAAUGCCCGACAGUUUUAUGUAAAUGUAAUUUGUUAAAAAAUGAUUCUGCAGGAAGAAAAAAUAAGGUUGUCAACUAAUGGCUGAUGAGGAUUUGUUGUAAUUAUUUAACACUACAUGACCACAAAAUCUUGAAAAUUCAAAUAAAUGGAAAACAGGAUUAAAAUAUAAUCAAUAAUAACACACACCCGAUGCGUGUAUGCACAUGGAUGCUCUUGAGGGGUAGUUUUGACAGUCACGGUGAUCGCCUCGAGCCCUGGUAGGACUUCGGAUGAGGUGGAUCGUGUCCCAGGUCACAGCAGGGAAAUCAGCAAAGGCAGAAAGAUCUGCACAAAUUCUAGGGUUAAGGUAAACCGUGUGACCUUAGAAUAAAGCCUAGAUCCUGUUCUUUCAACUGAGUGCCCUGGGGAGUGACAGAAAUGGCAGAGGGCUGUGGCUUCGGCUUUCUGUGCUCCUGCUGGAAGGGAGUAUAGAGAUGUGGGGGGGGGUGUGGCUAGACUAUGGGUGUCUGGCUCUCCUAGUCGAUAUGGUCCUGUACACAGUGUUUUCUCAUGUUGUCACAGUGAUGAUGUAUUGUUAUAGCAGGUGGUUAGUCAGACAUGAGCAGGGCAGGAGAGGGCACCCCCACCCUCACCGGGAAUGUCAGGCAGCCAUCAGGUGAUGGUCAGGUGGUUGCUGUCUCUCUAAAAUAAUAAUUUGUCACAGCCGGUACCAGGGAAAGGCAGUCUUCCAAUAGACAGCAACUCCCGAAUUGCGAUCAGCAGCUUCCGGAUAGGAUCUUAGAAUCUGGGCGAGCGGGCUCGAGCAGGUGCACUAAAAGGCAAAAUGGUGGAGUUUAAGUGGU
ensembl:lncRNA